UACGAAGGGUGCAAACGUUGCUCGGAAUUAUUGGGCGUAAAGCGCACGUAGGCGGCUUAGCAAGUCGGAAGUGAAAUCCCUCGGCUCAACCAAGGAAGUGCCUUCGAAACUGCUGAGCUUGAAUACUUAAGAGGAUCGCGGAAUUCCCGGUGUAGAGGUGAAAUUCGUAGAUAUCGGGAGGAACACCAGUGGCGAAGGCGGCGAUCUGGGAAGAUAUUGACGCGGAGGUGCGAAAGCGUGGGGAGCAAACAGG
rnacentral:rRNA from 1 species